rnacentral:rRNA from 1 species
GACGAACGCUUUCUUCUUUCUUAACACAUGCAAGUCGAACGGAAAGGCCCUGCUUUUGUGGGGUGCUCGAGUGGCGAAAGGGUGAGUAACACGUGAGUAACAUGUCCCUGACUUUGGGAUAACUUCAGGAAAAUGGGGCUAAAAUAGGAUAGGAGCUCCUGCUGCACGGUGGGGGUUGGAAAGUUUCGGCGGUUGGGGAUGGACUCGUGGCUUAUCAGUUUGUUGGUGGGGUAGUGGCUUACCAAGGCUUUGACGGGUAGCCGGCCUGCGAGGGUGACCGGCCACAUUGGGACUGAGAUACGGCCCAGACUCCUACGGGAGGCAGCGGUGGGGAAUAUUGCACAAUGGGCGGAAUCCUGAUGCAGCAACGCCGCGUGCGAGAUGACGGCUGUCGGUUUGUAAACCGCUUUCGCCUGGGACGAAGCGUGAGUGACGGUAAUGGGUAAAGAAGCACCGGCUAACUACGUG